GCAGGAGCUGGGGCUAACAGCGGGCGCUCAUUUCGCUCCCAGGAUUUGAACCUGGGACCUUUUGGUCUGCAAGUCAGCAGCUCAGCACUUUAACACACUGCGCCACCACCAGGGGCCCAUUACAGUAUUACAGGCUGCCUCUAAGAGUGGGGCCCUCCCAAAGCAAUGUUCAUAAUUAAGAAAACAAUACAAAACUCCACAAGGACAGCUGUUACAGAUAAAACCAGCAACCAGAAAAAUUCAACAAGUGGACACUAGGAGCGGGACUACAAAACCCAUGAGGCAUCACAAUCAUCAUCAUCAUCAUCAUCUGUGUUGCAUAUAUACCAUAUACAUACAACCUGAAGAUGCCUUCAUUGGCUACCGGUUCAGGCCAGGACCCAUUUCAUACUUUUGGUUCUGGUAUUUAAGGCUCUGUGCAUUAACAUCCCCCAGUACCUGGCAGUUUGGCAAGCAUGGUAUGCAGGAUAUAGGAAUUUAACAUCCACAGGUAAGGGAUUAUUGUCUAUUCCACUAAUGCGCACUUCUCUGUCAAGACCGGAAGACUUUCAAGACCUUGUUCCAUAUCUGUAGAAUAGUCUUCCUUUGGAUCUCUGGCUAGAGGUGGAUAUCACCUAUUUUUGGAAAGGGCUGAAGACUUUCCACUUUGAUUUGCUAGAUUAAGCUGCUGAAUUGUGCCCACUAUGAUGAGUAGUGACCAGAGGGGUCUUACAGAUUUCAUUUCAUGUAUAUUAAAAGUGUUGUGUUCUUAGUUCCUGAUUCCAGAUGAUGAUGUUUUGUCUUUUGGUGACAAAAGGGCAUUAUAAAUCACCAUCAUUAUUUUGCUUGCCCUCGAAGAAUAACAAGGAGUGGUCCAACUUGGCCUCCCUUGGAAGGGAACUCAAAGCUUAGGAAUACCCAUUGAGAUGUCUUAUUUUAGCAUCUUUUGUGGGGCAUUAUCUUUAGCUGUGGAUAAUUAGAUUUACACUGCUGAACCCUUGGCACACAUGCGACCUGAAACACCACUACCUGCUGGAUAGAUGUAAAUCUCCUGUAUUUCUCUGACUAGUCUUCUCUGCAUGCUUAAACCAAAGGUGCCAGAUAUCAACUACCCCACUAAAGAAAAGCAUUAUCUAUUUCAUGAUCUCAUGCAAAAAGAUAGUUAUUCCCAUAGUCUUCUGCCCAUUAUAUGAGGGAAUAAAGAUUUCUGUGCAGCAUUCCCCUGCUGUAUGUGCACUUUGUGAACUAUUCUUGAGAAUUAUUCUGUAUAGAAAUGUAUGUAGCUUUCCUGAGCAAACCUUUCCUAUAACCACAUUUCUUCCACAAGAAACACAUUUUCUGCACAUAAUAUAAUAUAUUUUGUGUACACCCCCUUUAUGUUAAAUUGUUUGUUUUGCACACAAAAAUUGAAUACAUGCAAUUAUGUGUAGAAUGGCUCUCAAUACACCAGAGGGAAAAAAUGUAAAAAUC